AUUUAAAUUUUAACCACUCAUGCCUAUAUUAGGGGGGUCGACAGAGUCGACUAUGGCGAUAAACGAAUAUAUGAAAUAAGCGUAUCGGACCCGGGGGCGGUACCCGGCGCCUCCACCAUAAGAAUAACGCCACGGGGUAUAAGCGCCGCAAAAGCGGCCAGAAAUACCACCAGAAAUACCAGACGAAAAAAUUGUCGUGAUUGUAUUUUGAGGGCGUAUUUUUAUGAUGGGGGCGAAAUUAGGAUCGACGAGCGUGGUAAAGAUAUAUUCUUCGCCCAGUAUGACACCGCUGUGAUGGGUCAUCUAAAAUAAAUGCUAACGAUAACGAAGCAUUUGCUGUAGCCGCUUAAUAUAGCAUCGCUACGCGGGGUUCGGAGGGCACCUAGCAACAGAAGCCCUUCA
rnacentral:tmRNA from 1 species